rnacentral:rRNA from 1 species
GUGGGGGAUAUUGCACAAUGGGGGAAACCCUGAUGCAGCGACGCCGCGUGUGGGAAGACGGUCCUCUGGAUUGUAAACCACUGUCCCCAGGGACGAAGAUGACGGUACCUGGGGAGGAAGCUCCGGCUAACUACGUGCCAGCAGCCGCGGUAAUACGUAGGGAGCGAGCGUUGUCCGGAAUUACUGGGUGUAAAGGGAGCGUAGGCGGGAUGGCAAGUUGGGUGUGAAAACUAUCGGAUCAACUGAUAGUGGCAAUCAAAACUGACGUUCUUGAGUGGAGUAGAGGCAGGCGGAAUUCCUAGUGUAGCGGUGAAAUGCGUAGAUAUUAGGAGGAACACCAGUGGCGAAGGCGGCCUGCUGGGCUUUUACUGACGCUGAGGCUCGAAAGUGUGGGGAGCAAACAGG